GAAGUCUGCCCGGGGUGCGCAUGGCUUGCGCUGAGAUGGACGACCAAACCCGCGAACUUGAUCCGGCUCAUACCGGCGUAAGAAGAGCAGCUCAGCACAGGC
rnacentral:ncRNA from 2 species